rnacentral:rRNA from 1 species
GGUUGAUCCUGCCAGUAGUCAUAUGCUUGUCUCAAAGAUUAAGCCAUGCAUGUCUAAGUAUAAACACCUUUAUACAGUGAAACUGCGUACAGCUCAUUAUAUCAGUUAUGAUUUAUUUGAUGGUUAUUUUCUACAUGGAUACCUGUAGUAAUUCUAGAGCUAAUACAUGCAUAAAGUCCUGACUCGUGAGGGAAAGGAUGUAUUUAUUAGAUAGCAAACCAAUACAGAUGCAAAUCUGGUGUUUUGGUGACUCCUAGUAACUGUUCGAAUCGCAUGGCUUUACGCUGGCGAU